GCCGGUAUAGCUCAGUUGGUAGAGCAACUGAUUUGUAAUCAGUAGGUCGCGGGUUCGAUUCCUGCUGCCGGCACCA
rnacentral:tRNA from 6 species